rnacentral:rRNA from 1 species
UACGUAGGGACCAAGCGUUGUCCGGAAUCAUUGGGCGUAAAGAGCGUGUAGGCGGCUUGUUAAGUCUUGCGUGAAAUCUCGGGGCUCAACCCCGAGCGGUCGUGAGAAACUGGCAGGCUAGAGUGCGGGAGAGGAGAGUGGAAUUCCUGGUGUAGCGGUGAAAUGCGCAGAUAUCAGGAAGAACACCCGUGGCGAAGGCGGCUCUCUGGUACGUGACUGACGCUGAGACGCGAAAGCGUGGGGAGCAAACGGG